UACAGAGGGUGCAAGCGUUAAUCGGAGUUACUGGGCGUAAAGGGCGCGUAGGCGGUUAUGUAAGUGAGAUGUGAAAGCCCUGGGCUUAACCUAGGAACUGCAUCUUAUACUGCAUAACUGGAGUACUGUAGAGGGUAGUGGAAUUUCCGGUGUAGCGGUGAAAUGCGUAGAGAUCGGAAGGAACACCAGUGGCGAAGGCGGCUACCUGGACAGAUACUGACGCUGAGGCGCGAGAGCGUGGGGAGCAAACAGG
rnacentral:rRNA from 1 species